GUUGUAUAGUCAAGUAAUUAAGUGCAUGUGGUGGAUGCUUGGCAGUCAGAGGCGAUGAAAGACGUGAUAGCCUGCGAAAAGCUCCGGGGAGGCGGCAAAUAUCCUUUGAUCCGGAGAUGUCUGAAUGGGGGAACCCACCUACUUUAAGGUAGGUAUUGCAACAUGAAUACAUAGUGUUGCAAGGCGAACGAGGGGAAGUGAAACAUCUCAGUACCCUUAGGAAAAGAAAUCAAUUGAGAUUCCCUCAGUAGCGGCGAGCGAACGGGGAUCAGCCCAUUAAGUUAUGUGUGUUUUAGUGGAACGCUCUGGGAAGUGCGAACGUAGAGGGUGAUAUUCCCGUACACGAAAGGGCACACAUAAUGAUGACGAGUAGGGCGAGGCACGUGAAACCUUGUCUGAAUAUGGGGGGACCAUCCUCCAAGGCUAAAUACUCCUGACUGACCGAUAGUGAACCAGUACCGUGAGGGAAAGGCGAAAAGAACCCCUGUGAGGGGAGUGAAAUAGAUCCUGAAACCGCAUGCAUACAAGCAGUGGGAGCACCUUCGUGGUGUGACUGCGUACCUUUUGUAUAAUGGGUCAGCGACUUAUAUUCAGUAGCAAGGUUAACCGUAUAGGGGAGCCGUAGAGAAAUCGAGUCUUAAUAGGGCGUUUAGUUGCUGGGUAUAGACCCGAAACCAGGCGAUCUAUCCAUGAGCAGGUUGAAGGUUGGGUAACACUAACUGGAGGACCGAACCCACUGUCGUUGAAAAGCCAGGGGAUGACUUGUGGAUAGGGGUGAAAGGCUAAUCAAGCCUGGUGAUAGCUGGUUCUCCCCGAAAGCUAUUUAGGUAGCGCCUCGGACGAAUACCAUAGGGGGUAGAGCACUGUUUCGGCUAGGGGGUCAUCCCGACUUACCAAACCGAUGCAAACUCCGAAUACCUAUGAGUACUAUCCGGGAGACAGACUGCGGGUGCUAACGUCCGUAGUCAAGAGGAAAACAAUCCAGACCGCCAGCUAAGGCCCCAAAAUCAUAGUUAAGUGGGAAACGAUGUGGGAAGGCAUAGACAGCUAGGAGGUUGGCUUAGAAGCAGCCACCCUUUAAAGAAAGCGUAAUAGCUCACUAGUCGAGUCGGCCUGCGCGGAAGAUGUAACGGGGCUAAAACUAUGUGCCGAAGCUGCGGAUGUAUACUUUGUAUACGUGGUAGGGGAGCGUUCUGUAAGCCGAUGAAGGUGUGUUGAGAAGCAUGCUGGAGGUAUCAGAAGUGCGAAUGCUGACGUGAGUAACGACAAAACGGGUGAAAAACCCGUUCGCCGAAAGACCAAGGGUUCCAGUCCAACGUUAAUCGGGGCUGGGUGAGUCGACCCCUAAGGCGAGGCCGAAAGGCGUAGUCGAUGGGAAAAUGGUUAAUAUUCCAUUACUUCUGUGUAAUGCGAUGAGAGGACGGAGAAGGCUAAAUCAGCCUGGCGUUGGUUGUCCAGGUGAAAGGAUGUAGGCAUGUAUCUUAGGCAAAUCCGGGGUACUCUAUGCUGAGAUCUGAUAGCAAGCUGUACUUGUACAGCGAAGUGGUUGAUGCCAUGCUUCCAGGAAAAGUCUCUAAGCUUCAGUUACACAGGAAUCGUACCCGAAACCGACACAGGUGGUCAGGUCGAGUAGACCAAGGCGCUUGAGAGAACUCUGCUGAAGGAACUAGGCAAAAUGGUACCGUAACUUCGGGAGAAGGUACGCUGUUGUUGGUGAUGGAACUCGCUUCCUGAGCUGACGACAGCCGCAGAAACCAGGCCGCUGCAACUGUUUAUUAAAAACAUAGCACUCUGCAAACACGAAAGUGGACGUAUAGGGUGUGAUGCCUGCCCGGUGCUGGAAGGUUAAUUGAUGGGGUUAGCGUAAGCGAAGCUCUUGAUCGAAGCCCCAGUAAACGGCGGCCGUAACUAUAACGGUCCUAAGGUAGCGAAAUUCCUUGUCGGGUAAGUUCCGACCUGCACGAAUGGCAUAAUGAUGGCGGCGCUGUCUCCAGCAGAGGCUCAGUGAAAUCGAAAUCGCUGUGAAGAUGCAGUGUACCCGCGGCUAGACGGAAAGACCCCCGUGAACCUUUACUGCAGCUUGACACUGAACUUUGACCUUACUUGUGUAGGAUAGGUGGGAGGCUUUGAAGCUGGAACGCUAGUUCCAGUGGAGCCGUCCUUGAAAUACCACCCUGGUAAUGUUGAGGUUCUAACUCUGUCCCGUGAUCCGGGACGAGGACCGUGUCUGGUGGGUAGUUUGACUGGGGCGGUCUCCUCCUAAAGAGUAACGGAGGAGUACGAAGGUGCGCUCAGCGUGGUCGGAAAUCACGCGUAGAGUAUAAAGGCAAAAGCGCGCUUAACUGCGAGACCCACAAGUCGAGCAGGUACGAAAGUAGGUCUUAGUGAUCCGGUGGUUCUGUAUGGAAGGGCCAUCGCUCAACGGAUAAAAGGUACUCUGGGGAUAACAGGCUGAUACCGCCCAAGAGUUCAUAUCGACGGCGGUGUUUGGCACCUCGAUGUCGGCUCAUCUCAUCCUGGGGCUGAAGCAGGUCCCAAGGGUAUGGCUGUUCGCCAUUUAAAGAGGUACGCGAGCUGGGUUUAGAACGUCGUGAGACAGUUCGGUCCCUAUCUACCGUGGGCGCUGGAAAUUUGAGAGGAUCUGCUCCUAGUACGAGAGGACCAGAGUGGACGAACCUCUGGUGUACCGGUUGUGACGCCAGUCGCAUCGCCGGGUAGCUAUGUUCGGAAGGGAUAACCGCUGAAAGCAUCUAAGCGGGAAGCCUACCUCAAGAUAAGAUUUCCCUAGGACUUUAUGUCCUCUAAAGAGCCGUUCGAGACUAGGACGUUGAUAGGUUGGGUGUGGAAGCAUAGUGAUAUGUGAAGCUGACCAAUACUAAUUGCUCGUGAGGCUUGACUAUACAACACCCAAGCAGUUG
rnacentral:rRNA from 1 species